UACGGGGGGAGCAAGCGUUGUUCGGAUUUACUGGGCGUAAAGGGCGCGUAGGCGGCCACCGCAAGUCAAUUGUGAAAUCUCCGGGCUUAACUCGGAAAGGUCAACUGAUACUGCGGGGCUAGAGUGUGGAAGGGGCAACUGGAAUUCUCGGUGUAGCGGUGAAAUGCGUAGAUAUCGAGAGGAACACCUGCGGCGAAGGCGGGUUGCUGGGCCGACACUGACGCUGAUGCGCGAAAGCCAGGGGAGCGAACGGG
rnacentral:rRNA from 1 species